UGGGUAUUGACUUCCAUAUCCCAUAUUGGCAAACCUUAAAUCCAACUCUGUGUUUUAAAACUCUUUUGUGACUCAAUUUGAGUUGAAGUUUUGCCACUAUGAAAAUAUAUAGAUAGCCAUUUUAACUCCCAACUCUCAUAUGACUUUCCCUCAAUCCAUAAACCCAAACAACAUAAAGAAAAAACUAACUCCCCCAACCAACUGUUCAACAUUUUACUCUCUCUUUAUUCCUCUGCUUUUGGCUUCUCUUCUUCAGCUGGUGCUGCAGCUUCUGAGCUCUCUUCAACGGCAUCUUCACUUUUCACUUCCUUAGUCUCUUCUUCUGUUUUCUCCUCAACUGCCUCCACUGUUUCCUCCUUGGUCUCUUCCUCCUUCUUUUCGGCCUCGGCCUCGGCCGGUGCUUCGGGUUCCGCUGCAGGCUCUGCCUCCUCUGGCUUGCUCUCCUUCUCUUCUACAACUUCUUCCUUGGUUUCGACUUCCGGUUCAGUUGCGACGGGUGCCUCCUCCACAGGUUCAGGGGCAGCAGGGGCAGCAGCUUCCUCCUCCUGUUCUUGAGCUGGGGUUUCUUCAGCCACUGGCUCUUCUACAACUUUCUCCUCAGGUUGGACUGCUGGAGCUGCCUCAGGCUCUGGCAAUACUACUGGGACUGAUUCAACCUACAAAACCCAGAUCACACACAAUUGAUUAUUAAAUUGGAAGUUGAUUUUUAGUAAUGAUGGGAUCCAAUGGCAAUGACUUAAAAGGAACACGUUGUGAUUGUUCACCAGCUUUAUAUGAUCAUUUUCAUACGAGAGAAUGUUCGUUAAUAAAUGACCGAAAGCGAAGAAAAAUAUAAUAUAAUAUACAUGGUCUAACAAGGCCAUGAGUUUGUUUUUUCAUUUGCUAGUAGAGUACGAUCCAAUAUAUUUAUAUAGAUCGAGAGAGAGAGAGAGAUCAUUUGAAUGCAUAAAUGAGAAAAAUCCCAGCUUGCAAGAUCAAUCAAAUGGAACUCGAUCAAACUUAAAUAAACAUAUGUAGGAAAUGACUUAAGAGAGAAAGAGAGAGUUAGAAUGAGAGAAGAGAAGCAAAAACAAGACUUUGAAAGAGGUAUAAGAAGCUUGAAUUACC
rnacentral:lncRNA from 1 species